UUUUGCAGAGCUCUACCCAGAGGAGGAUGGCGCUAGCUUGGACUCAGGUAGCAGUGGUAAAGGUAGUUGAGACAUUGUCGUAUUUAUGAUCGAUUUUGAAGGUAGAGAUUUCAAGAUUUGCUAAUAGAUAUGAAAGAGUAGAGGAUCGAUAGGUUGGAGAAAGACAUGUUUUAGACAUCCAAAUGGAAAUGUAGGAAAGAGAGUUGGUUAUCAAGGUCUGGAAUGCAGAGGAGAUACUGUGGGUAUUGGUGGAGUCUAUGCAGAUGGUAUUGGGAGUGCAGAGAGAGGAGGCCCAAGGACUGAGCUCUAGGCACUCCAACAACAAGAGGUCAGGAAGAUGAGAAAGGGUCAGCAGAAGAGACUGAGAAGGAGUUGUUAAGGAAGAAGGGGCAAAGAGAAGGGAGAAGUGUCCCAAAUCCAGGUGAGGAAAUGUUUCAAGAAGGAAAUUGUGAUUAGCUCUGUCCAAUGCUGAGGAACAAGUAAGCUGAGGCCAGAAGAUGGGGCAACGUGGAGGUGAAUGGUGACAUUAACAGAGUAGCUUUGGUGGAGUGUAGGGAGAUGGCUUGAGAGAAAGGGGAGGAAGGAAGCAGAAACAGCAGGAAAAGAUUUGCUAUAAAUGGGAGCAGAAAAUGGGCAGAAGCUGGAAGACAUGGGGUCAAAGGAAUGUUUUCUUCAUGAUGGGAAGAGGGAGAAGAGGCAAUUGACUCUAUGCCAUUUGUAUACAGUCUUGUAAAACCACUGCUGAAGAUUUGAAAUAUUAUUCUGACUUGAAUAACUUGCCACUCCAAGUGAAGCUGUUUUCUUCGCUAGACUUGCCACAGUUUGGAAGGGAAGCUGUCCUUCAGCAAUGAUAAAUGACACAGCAAUUGUUUCUGCAAGUCCAGAAUGAUGAAUAGAUCUUGCUUCAUCCAAAGCUUUAUUUCCAAAAGCUUUGACACAAAGAGAGACCAAUUUCAUUAUUGCUACAUUCUAGAAGAAGAAACAAAACCAUUUGCCAGCAUGCUUAAUAUGAUGAAUUUCUAAGCUGAAAGCACUAUCCUUGUAAUCUUUUUGAUGUCUCUUAAUAUAUCUAUCCAUUUUCCUUACAAAGACCGUUUGUUUAUUAAGAUCCAUUCUGUGAAAAGAGUCACAUGGUGUAUUUCAAACGUCCGUUUAAAAUGAUUCUUCAGGUAUGAUGCCAGAAGUUUUAAUAGCCCUCCGCCUCCCCUUCACAUUGCCUGUGUGAUCUCUGGUGUGUCCUGCCAAGUACCCUCACUCUCUCACUUUCGUUGCCCAAGUGCAUUCUGAGUAGCAAGGACUUCUGCUUGGACUCAUUGUUUGGGUCAGGCUCAGAGAGAGCUCUUAUGUUUUUUCUCAUCAGCUAAUAAAGAUAAGGGGUGGCAUCAGGGGAAGCAUGCCUUAGAGAUGAAGGGCAAAUGGAGAUCUUUGAUUCAAAGAAUGCGGCUCCAUCACUUUCUCUCUUACAUAAAAAUUCUAUUCAUCCCACACUUCCUACUGCAAAUCACAUUGGUACACCAUGACAAUGCAGUAGAUACACAAGGACUUUCCCACAUCACACUACAAACACAGCCACCCUCUCUGGGGAACGUAAGAGAAACUUUUGGGCUUCCACUUCCCCUCCAUUUGUUUGAAGGAUCAAGAGAACACUGUUCCAUUUUCAACAAAAAUUAAAAAGGAAAAUCAUGAAAAGAGCCAACCUCCUCUUUUUUGUUUUCUCCCUUAAUAUAUUGUUGCAUCCAGGGAAGAGGAAACAGUGAGCGCCACUGAUACUGGGUCCCCAGGGACCCCAUAAGGGUCACUCCCCAGCUAUCAAAUGAGCAUGUCUUCCUCCACUUGCAGAGUGAGUUUUUAACGGGAAUGGAAGUUACUCUUGGCUCAGCUCUGAUGUUGAAAAAAAUAAAAUAAAAAGAAAAGAAAAAAAGAAAAGAAAAAGAAAUGCCACAGUGCUUCAGGGAACCAGGCUGUGUUCACACCUGGGUUUUCACAGGACAGAGAUUUUUAGCUUUAAGGCUUUGGAGAUUUGGAGAAAGGAGAUUUCAGAAAUCAUUAGCCAUGUUCCUGCCAGCCUCAG
rnacentral:lncRNA from 10 species